rnacentral:lncRNA from 1 species
CUCUGGCCAGGCCAGUGGACUCUGGAGUCCCUUUCCCUUCGUUUCCGACUUUCCCACGCAAAAAAUAAAAACCUCCGGAAUCUUGCGGGUGACAGGACCACGCGGAGCACUUAUUACAAGAGCGGCCAAGAACUGCCAUUCCCAGAAUGCCCCGGUUUAUUUGCAUCUUUUUGUCUCGGGUGGCGUCACCUGAGUGAGGCUGCUACUGUACCAAUGGGCCGCUGCGGGGUGUUAGGACCUGGCCAUAUAAGGCAAAGCCAGCAUACAGGAUAUCACAGAAUGAGAGGCAGCGCUGCUUUCUUUGUUGCCAUGGAGACUGCAACAAAGCCUGAAGGAAAGUGGGCAGUCUGCUCUGCCUUGGGCCUCAGUUUCCCUAUGUGUAAAAUGAGGAGAAGUCUGUCCUCUGUGGGUGCUGCAAAAUUACGGAUCCAUUGUAAAUGUCUUGACAGAGAUGAUCUGGGUUUUGUCCAAGGCCCAAACAAACUCUGCAUUCCUCUAUGAGCUUGGGGGCCACCCACUUUCCAGGCACCGGAGCUUCCGAAAGUGUCCGAGUGUGGACAGAAAAUGAAGGGACUGAGGUAUUCGGGGUCAACAUCCAGCCUGGCAGCAGAGGUUAGUGUCGUCUGAGGGCGGUACCCCCUUCGCAGCCUGGGCCUCUUGGUUCGCCCUGCCACGGCCGCUCACGUGAG